rnacentral:rRNA from 1 species
UACGAAGGGGGCUAGCGUUGUUCGGAUUCACUGGGCGUAAAGCGCACGUAGGCGGGUUGUUAAGUCAGGGGUGAAAUCCCAGAGCUCAACUCUGGAACUGCCUUUGAUACUGUCGAUCUGGAGUAUGGAAGAGGUGAGUGGAAUUCCGAGUGUAGAGGUGAAAUUCGUAGAUAUUCGGAGGAACACCAGUGGCGAAGGCGGCUCACUGGUCCAUUACUGACGCUGAGGUGCGAAAGCGUGGGGAGCAAACAGG